UACAGAGGUCUCAAGCGUUGUUCGGAAUCACUGGGCGUAAAGGGUGCGUAGGCCGCACGGUAAGUCAGAGGUGAAAUCCCGGAGCUCAACUUCGGAGUUGCCUCCGAUACUGCCGUGCUUGAGGACUGGAGAGGAGAUUGGAAUUCACAGUGGAGCAGUGAAAUGCGUAGAUAUUGUGAGGAACACUAGUGGCGAAGGCGAAUCUCUGGACAGUUCCUGACGCUGAGGCACGAAGGCCAGGGGAGCAAACGGG
rnacentral:rRNA from 1 species